UACGUAGGGUGCAAGCGUUGUCCGGAAUUAUUGGGCGUAAAGAGCUCGUAGGCGGCUUGUCGCGUCGGCUGUGAAAACCUGGGGCUCAACCCCGGGCCUGCAGCCGAUACGGGCAAGCUAGAGUUCGGUAGGGGAGACUGGAAUUCCUGGUGUAGCGGUGAAAUGCGCAGAUAUCAGGAAGAACACCCGUGGCGAAGGCGGCUCUCUGGGACGGUACUGACGCUGAGACGCGAAAGCGUGGGGAGCGAACAGG
rnacentral:rRNA from 1 species